rnacentral:rRNA from 1 species
UUGGUGAGGUAACGGCCCACCAAGGCGACGACGGGUAGCCGGCCUGAGAGGGUGACCGGCCACACUGGGACUGAGACACGGCCCAGACUCCUACGGGAGGCAGCAGUGGGGAAUAUUGCACAAUGGGCGCAAGCCUGAUGCAGCAACGCCGCGUGAGGGACGACGGCCUUCGGGUUGUAAACCUCUUUUAGUAGGGAAGAAGCGAAAGUGACGGUACCUGCAGAAAAAGCACCGGCUAACUACGUGCCAGCAGCCGCGGUAAUACGUAGGGUGCAAGCGUUAUCCGGAAUUAUUGGGCGUAAAGAGCUCGUAGGCGGAUUGUCGCGUCUGCUGUGAAAACUGGAGGCUCAACCUCCAGCCUGCAGUGGGUACGGGCAGACUAGAGUGCGGUAGGGGAGAUUGGAAUUCCUGGUGUAGCGGUGGAAUGCGCAGAUAUCAGGAGGAACACCGAUGGCGAAGGCAGAUCUCUGGGCCGUAACUGACGCUGAGGAGCGAAAGCAUGGGGAGCGAACAGGAUUAGAUACCCUGGUAGUCCAUGCCGUAAACGUUGGGAACUAGAUGUAGGGACCAUUCCACGGUUUCUGUGUCGCAGCUAACGCAUUAAGUUCCCCGCCUGGGGAGUACGGC